AGCCUCUGACGCCUGAGAGGCGCUCUGUUCCUCUAGGAGGUACGGCAGAGUCCCAGAGUUAUAUGGGCUCCCUCCGCUCUGAGAGCAGCUCUUCCCAGAAUAUAAACCUGCGCGUCUGUACAGUGGACCGGUUCCUAUUGGCAGGCGCUCAGGCUGAACAACAUGGGGUACUUAGUUCUUCAAACAGCCCACACCUGAUGCAUCCGCAGAUCCACCAGAAUUCACCUGGUCGCCCACCUCCACUACUGCCCAGACUGUGGCAAUCCGUUCUUCCCUUCAUGCCGACACCCCUGCAUGUCUGUUCUCCACGCAACAAACGGUGGAACCGUUUUAAAGUCCCAACUCGGAUGUCCUGAUUCUGUUCAAAACUUCUAUGUCGCCCGACGCCCUCGAGAUAAAGCCCACCCCAUCGCCUGAUACUGCAGCCGCACACAUCCCCUCUCCUCCAGCUCCACAUCGACAGCGCUCAGUCCCGGAAGCACCUGGGCUUCGGCUCCCCUCCCAGGUUUGGCACACGCAGGACUCUCCCCUCGGAGCCUCCUUCAGGACCUCAGCCCCCUGGCUGCCGGAAGUCGGGAGCUCACCAGUGCCCUGGACACAGGAGUUUGCAUUGACCCCCGCAACCCCCCCAGGGCAGGGAGAGGAAGGACGACUAGGCGAGGUCUAGGAAGCGGCCUCCCUCCGUGGGGGCGCGGUCUGUGUGAGCAGAGACUCCCCUGCUUCCCCGGCGCGAGCUUGUCAGCACCACUGCCGGCAGCGGAACCCGCAGCUGGGAGGGAAGAAAGGCGCGGACCACCCAGCACCGCCAUCCCCCCCGCGCAGCGUCCCGGGGCCGCCCCGCGCCUCAGUCUCCCCGGCCAUCAUGGACAUGGAACGCCCAGCGCGCAGCCUCCUGGGCUGCCGCACGGUGGGAGAGCGCAUGGCUCCCGCCGCGGCCCGACAGUCCCCUGGACGCCCACGACGCACUCUGAGAAACAGAGGCUUGGGGGCGCGGCCGGCGGCCGGCGCCCUUGAUCACGACGCGUGCGCAGGGCGGGCCCGACGCGGGCCCUCAGCCAGUACCUUCCUCGCCGCCAGCCUCGGUCCCCGGGAACCUCCUGGAAACCGGAUCCGACCCGCGGGCCCCAGCCCAGACCACCGGUGUGGCCUGACGCUGGCGGCGAAGUGACAGUCCCACCGCCGGAAGUCCAGCCCUUCGGUUCUCAUUGGCCCAGUGCGCGCCGCGGACGCUUGCGUACAGCCUUCCGGGUCAUGUGGUUCCCGCCUGUUUCCCUGCGUGGAGGCGGGGCCACUACCGGUCUCCUUGGCAACGUCCAAGCCCCUGCCGCGCGGGGCGCUGGGAAAUGGAGUCACGCGGCGGCCUCGGGUUUUCAAGGGCUUGGUGGCGCCGGUGGAUUCGCCCGGUGUGUAGUCCUACCUUCGGCAUUCCAGGUGUCCUCCCAAGCAGUCCCGGAGACUAAACCCUGCAGGUGCGAAAGCAGAAACUGCCGAGGUUCCAGGAGGCAACACUAGCAGGGAGCACGGAGGAGAAAAUGCACCGGGUAGCGCAAGUGGAGGUGGAGCCGAUGCCUGAAGCUCCGGGUUCCCUUCCCAGCUCUGCCUCUCACUGACUGUGCGUCCUGGGCGCGGGUUUGACCUCUCUGUGUCAGUGUCCCGUAAAGGUUUAAGGUCAGGUUUUCAACCUUUACACCAAGAAUUCUCAGC